rnacentral:rRNA from 1 species
UACGAAGGGGGCUAGCGUUGUUCGGAUUUACUGGGCGUAAAGCGCACGUUAGGCGGAUCGUUAAGUCGGGGGUGAAAUCCUGGAGCUCAACUCCAGAACUGCCUUCGAUACUGGCGAUCUUAGUCCGGAAGAGGUGAGUGGAACUCCUAGUGUAGAGGUGGAAUUCGUAGAUAUUAGGAAGAACACCAGUGGCGAAGGCGGCUCACUGGUCCGGUACUGACGCUGAGGUGCGAAAAGCGUGGGGGAGCAAAACAGG